rnacentral:tRNA from 1 species
GCCGCCUUAGCUCAGUCGGUCAGAGCGAUGCUCUCGUAAAGCAUAGGUCGUCGGUUCGAUUCCGACAGGCGGCU